AGCGAACAGACGAGGAGCUUGCUCCUCUGACGUUAGCGGCGGACGGGUGAGUAACACGUGGAUAACCUACCUAUAAGACUGGGAUAACUUCGGGAAACCGGAGCUAAUACCGGAUAAUAUAUUGAACCGCAUGGUUCAAUAGUGAAAGACGGUUUUGCUGUCACUUAUAGAUGGAUCCGCGCCGCAUUAGCUAGUUGGUAAGGUAACAGCUUACCAAGGCAACGAUGCGUAGCCGACCUGAGAGGGUGAUCGGCCACACUGGAACUGAGACACGGUCCAGACUCCUACGGGAGGCAGCAGUAGGGAAUCUUCCGCAAUGGGCGAAAGCCUGACGGAGCAACGCCGCGUGAGUGAUGAAGGUCUUCGGAUCGUAAAACUCUGUUAUUAGGGAAGAACAAAUGUGUAAGUAACUAUGCACGUCUUGACGGUACCUAAUCAGAAAGCCACGGCUAACUACGUGCCAGCAGCCGCGGUAAUAC
rnacentral:rRNA from 1 species